GAUGAAGAACGUAGCGAAAUGCGAUACGUAAUGUGAAUUACAGAUUUCAGUGAAUCAUCGAAUCUUUGAACGCACAUUGCGCCCGCUAGUAUUCUGGCGGGCAUGCCUGUUCGAGCGUCAUUUCAACCAUCAAGCCCUAGGCUUGCGUUGGAGCCCUGCGGCUGCCGCAGGCUCCCAAAUCCAGUGGCGGGCUCGUCGUCGUACCGAGUGCAGUAAACAUCCUCGCUCAGGGAACGUGACGGGUUCUUGCCGUGAAACCCCCCACAUAUCAAGGUUGACCUCGGAUCAGGUAGGAAUACCCGCUGAACUUAAGCAUAUCAAUAAGCGGAGGA
rnacentral:misc_RNA from 1 species